rnacentral:rRNA from 1 species
UACGGGGGGGGCAAGCGUUGUUCGGAAUUACUGGGCGUAAAGCGUGCGCAGGCGGUUGUGCAAGACCGAUGUGAAAUCCCCGGGCUCAACCUGGGAAUGGCAUUGGUGACUGCACGGCUAGAGUGUGUCAGAGGGGGGUAGAAUUCCACGUGUAGCAGUGAAAUGCGUAGAGAUGUGGAGGAAUACCGAUGGCGAAGGCAGCCCCCUGGGAUAACACUGACGCUCAUGCACGAAAGCGUGGGGAGCAAACAGG